UACGGAAGGUGCGAGCGUUAAUCGGAAUUACUGGGCGUAAAGCGCACGUAGGUGGUUUUAUAAGUCGGAUGUGAAAGCCCCGGGCUUAACCUGGGAAUUGCAUCCGAGACUGUCUGACUUGAGUAUGCUAGAGGGAAGUGGAAUUCCAGGUGUAGCGGUGAAAUGCGUAGAUAUCUGGAGGAACACCGAUGGCGAAGGCAGUUCUCUGGGCCGUAACUGACGCUGAGGAGCGAAAGCGUGGGGAGCGAACAGG
rnacentral:rRNA from 1 species